UACGUAGGGUGCGAGCGUUGUCCGGAAUUAUUGGGCGUAAAGAGCUCGUAGGCGGUUCGGCAAGUCGGAUGUGAAAGCCCUUGGCUUAACCGAGGAAGUGCAUCCGAAACUGGCGAGCUAGAGUACUAAAGAGGAUCGCGGAAUUCCCGGUGUAGAGGUGAAAUUCGUAGAUAUCGGGAGGAACACCGGUGGCGAAGGCGGCGAUCUGGGUAGAUACUGACGCUGAGGUGCGAAAGCGUGGGGAGCAAACAGG
rnacentral:rRNA from 1 species